rnacentral:rRNA from 1 species
GCACAAGCAGCGGAGCAUGUGGUUUAAUUCGAAGCCACGCGAAGAACCUUACCAGGUCUUGACAUCCAGUAAAACUUGUAGAGAUAUAAGGUGUGCUUGCACAUACUGAGACAGGUGGUGCAUGGUUGUCGUCAGCUCGUGUCGUGAGAUGUUGGGUUAAGUCCCGCAACGAGCGCAACCCUUGUGAUCAGUUACUAACGGGUAAAGCCGAGGACUCUGAUAAGACUGCCGGGGACAACUCGGAGGAAGGUGGGGACGACGUCAAAUCAUCAUGCCCCUUAUGACCUGGGCUACACACGUGCUACAAUGGCCACUACAGAGAGAAGCGAAUUCGAGAGGAAGAGCGGAUCUCAAAAAAGUGGUCCCAGUUCGGAUUGUGGGCUGCAACCCGCCCACAUGAAGUCGGAGUUGCUAGUAAUCGCGGAUCAGCAUGCCGCGGUGAAUACGUUCCCGGGCCUUGUACACACCGCCCGUCACACCAUGGGAGUUGAUAGCACCCGAAGUCGGCGAGGUAACCGCAAGGAGCCAGCCGCCGAAGGUGAGAUCAAUGACUGGGGUG